UUUUUAUGGAGAGUUUGAUCCUGGCUCAGGACGAACGCUGGCGGCGUGCCUAAUACAUGCAAGUCGAGCGAAGUUUAUGGGAGCUUGCUCCUAAUAAACUUAGCGG
rnacentral:rRNA from 1 species